AUGAACGCUGGCGGCGUGCCUAAUACAUGCAAGUAGAACGCUGAAGGAAGGAGCUUGCUCUUUCCGGAUGAGUUGCGAACGGGUGAGUAACGCGUAGGUAACCUGCCUGGUAGCGGGGGAUAACUAUUGGAAACGAUAGCUAAUACCGCAUAACAGUAGAUGUUGCAUGAUAUCUACUUAAAAGGUGCAAUUGCACCACUACCAGAUGGACCUGCGUUGUAUUAGCUAGUUGGUGAGGUAACGGCUCACCAAGGCGACGAUACAUAGCCGACCUGAGAGGGUGAUCGGCCACACUGGGACGGAGACCCGGCCCAGACUUCCACGGGAGGCAGCCGUAGGGAAUCUUCGGGCAGAGACGGAAGUCUGACCGAGCAACGCCGCGUGAGUGAAGAAGGUUUUCGGAUCCUAAAGCUCGGUUGUAAGGGAAGAACGAGUGUGAGAGUGGAAAGUUCACACUGUGACGGUAUCUUACCAGAAAGGGACGGCUAACUACGUG
rnacentral:rRNA from 1 species